UACAGAGGUCUCAAGCGUUGUUCGGAUUCAUUGGGCGUAAAGGGUGCGUAGGUGGCGCCGUAAGUCAGAUGUGAAAUUCCGGAGCUCAACUCCGGAACUGCAUUUGAUACUGCGGUGCUCGAGGACUGGAGAGGAGACUGGAAUUCACGGUGUAGCAGUGAAAUGCGUAGAUAUCGUGAGGAAGACCAGUGGCGAAGGCGGGUCUCUGGACAGUUCCUGACACUGAGGCACGAAGGCCAGGGGAGCAAACGGGAUUAGAAACCCCCGUAGUCC
rnacentral:rRNA from 1 species